CAGAGGGGAAUAACCCGGCGAAAGUCGGACUAAUACCGCAUAAAAACAGGGGCACCGCAUGGUGAUAUUUGUUAAAGAAAUUCGCUGAUAGAUGGGCAUGCGUUCCAGUUAGGUAGUUGGUGAGGUAACGGCUCACCAAGCCGACGAUGGAUAGGGGAACUGAGAGGUUGGUCCCCCACACUGGUACUGAGACACGGACCAGACUCCUACGGGAGGCAGCAGUGAGGAAUAUUGGUCAAUGGGGCGGGAGCCUGAACCAGCCAAGUCCGCGUGAAGGAAGAAGGACCUAUGGUUCGUAAACUUCUUUUGCAGGGGAAUAAAGUGCAGGACGUGUCCUGUUUUGUAUGUACCCUGAGAAUAAGGAUCGGCUAACUCCGUGCCAGCCGCCGC
rnacentral:rRNA from 1 species